rnacentral:rRNA from 1 species
UACAGAGGGUGCAAGCGUUGUUCGGAAUUAUUGGGCGUAAAGGGCGCGUAGGCGGUUCGGCAAGUCUCUAGUGAAAUCUCAGGGCUCAACUCUGAGUCUGCUGGGGAAACUGCCGGGCUUGAGUGUGGGAGAGGAGAGUGGAAUUCCCGGUGUAGAGGUGAAAUUCGUAGAUAUCGGGAGGAACACCGGUGGCGAAGGCGGCGAUCUGGGUAGAUACUGACGCUGAGGUGCGAAAGCGUGGGGAGCAAACAGG